rnacentral:rRNA from 1 species
GUAUUGCACAACUGGGGGAAACCCUGAUGCAGCCAUGCCGCGUGUAUGAAGAAGGCUUCGGGUUGUAAGUACUUCAGCAGUGAGGAAGGUGGUGCAGUUAAUAGCUGUAUCAUUUGACGUUAGCUGCAGAAGAAGCACCGGCUAACUCCGUGCCAGCAGCCGCGGUAAUACGGAGGGUGCGAGCGUUAAUCGGAAUUACUGGGCGUAAAGCGCAUGCAGGUGGUUUGUUAAGUCAGAUGUGAAAGCCCCGGGGCUCAACCUCGGAAUUGCAUUUGAAACUGGCAGACUAGAGUACUGUAGAGGGGGUAGAAUUUCAGGUGUAGCGGUGAAAUGCGUAGAGAUCUGAAGGAAUACCGGUGGCGAAGGCGGCCCCCUCGGACAGAUACUGACACUCAGAUGCGAAAGCGUGGGGAGCAAACAGGAUUAGAUACCCUGGUAG